rnacentral:ncRNA from 1 species
GCGUAACAUUCCGCACGAUUUAGUAACAAGAGGACACUCACUUUGGACAGUCAUAGUCGAUACCGACAGUCAUUAAACUAAAUCUCGUCUGUUGCUUUUCAAUUAGCUUAUCGGCGAGAUUU